GUGCCAGCCGCCGCGGUAAGACAGAGGAGGCGAGCGUUGCUCGGAAUUACUGGGCUUAAAGCGGGUGUAAGCGGCCGCGCAAGUGUCGUGUGAAAGCCCACGGCUCAACCGUGGAACAGCACGGCAAACUGCGUGGCUUGAGGUCGGCAGAGGUGGCUGGAAUUCUCGGUGGAGCGGUGAAAUGCGUAGAUAUCGAGAGGAACGCCGGAGGCGAAAGCGGGCCACUGGGCCGAUCCUGACGCUGAGACCCGAAAGCGUGGGUAGCAAACAGGAUUAGAUACCCUGGUAGUCCACGCCCUAAACGGUGGGCACUAGGUGUGGGGCUCGAGAGGGUUCCGUGCCGAAGGGAAACCAAUAAGUGCCCCGCCUGGGGAGUACGGCCGCGGGGUUGAAACUCAAAUGAAUUGACGGGG
rnacentral:rRNA from 1 species